GUCGGGAUAGCUCAGUUGUAGAGC
rnacentral:tRNA from 1 species